rnacentral:rRNA from 1 species
GAUAAGGUUAAGUGAAUAAGGGCGCACGGUGGAUGCCUUGGCACUAGGAGCCGAUGAAGGACGGGACUAACACCGAUAUGCUUUGGGGAGCUGUAAGUAAGCUAUGAUCCAGAGAU